ACGAACUUCUUUAUCACCGAGUGCUUGCACUCACCGAUAAAGAGUUGAGUGGCGAACGGGUGAGUAACACGUGGGCAACCUGCCCAAAAGAGGGGGAUAACACUUGGAAACAGGUGCUAAUACCGCAUAACCAUAGUUACCGCAUGGUAACUAUGUAAAAGGUGGCUAUGCUACCGCUUUUGGAUGGGCCCGCGGCGCAUUAGCUAGUUGGUGGGGUAAAGGCUUACCAAGGCAAUGAUGCGUAGCCGAACUGAGAGGUUGAUCGGCCACAUUGGGACUGAGACACGGCCCAAACUCCUACGGGAGGCAGCAGUAGGGAAUCUUCCACAAUGGGCGAAAGCCUGAUGGAGCAACGCCGCGUGGGUGAAGAAGGUCUUCGGAUCGUAAAACCCUGUUGUUAGAGAAGAAAGUGCGUGAGAGUAACUGUUCACGUUUCGACGGUAUCUAACCAGAAAGCCACGGCUAACUACGUGCCAGCAGCCGCGGUAAUACGUAGGUGGCAAGCGUUAUCCGGAUUUAUUGGGCGUAAAGGGAACGCAGGCGGUCUUUUAAGUCUGAUGUGAAAGCCUUCGGCUUAACCGGAGUAGUGCAUUGGAAACUGGGAGACUUGAGUGCAGAAGAGGAGAGUGGAACUCCAUGUGUAGCGGUGAAAUGCGC
rnacentral:rRNA from 1 species